rnacentral:snRNA from 1 species
UCCCUAGCUAUUGAGACUAUAACAAAGUUUAAAGGUUAAAGAAAAUUCCUCUGCUCCCUUUGGCAGCACAUAUACUCAAAACUGGAAUGUGACAGCAUGGCCCCUGCACAAGGAUGCCACGCAAAUUCAUGAAGUGUUCCUACUUUUA